AGCAACUUGGCGCAGCGGAAGCGCGCCGGGCUCAUAACCCGGAGGUCCCUUGAUCGAAACGAGGAGUUGCUA
rfam:Grosmannia clavigera kw1407 unplaced genomic scaffold GCSC_97, whole genome shotgun sequence.